rnacentral:rRNA from 1 species
AAAAAAGGUAAGCUACUAAGAGCGAAUGGUGGAUGCCUUGACUGGUAAAGGCGAUGAAGGACGUACUAGACUGCGAUAAGCUACGGGGAGCUGUCAAGAAGCUUUGAUCCGUAGAUUUCCGAAUGGGGCAACCCAAUGUAUAGAGAUAUACAUUACCUAUAUAGGAGCGAACGAGGGGAAUUGAAACAUCUUAGUACCCUCAGGAAAAGAAAUCAAUAGAGAUUGCGUCAGUAGCGGCGAGCGAAAGCGCAAGAGGGCAAACCCAGUGCUUGCACUGGGGGUUGUAGGACUGCAAUGUGCAAGAGGUGAGUUUAGCAGAACAUUCUGGAAAGUAUAGCCAUAGAGGGUGAUAGUCCCGUAUGCGAAAAACAAACCUUAGCUAGCAGUAUCCUGAGUAGGGCGGGACACGAGAAAUCCUGUCUGAAGCUGGGUCGACCACGAUCCAACCCUAAAUACUAAUACCAGAUCGAUAGUGCACAAGUACCGUGAGGGAAAGGUGAAAAGAACUGAGGUGAUCAGAGUGAAAUAGAACCUGAAACCAUUUGCUUACAAUCAUUCAGAGCCCUAUGUAGCAAUACAGGGUGAUGGACUGCCUUUUGCAUAAUGAGCCUGCGAGUUGUGGUGUCUGGCAAGGUUAAGCAAACGCGAAGCCGUAGCGAAAGCGAGUCUGAAUAGGGCGCUUAGUCAGAUGCUGCAGACCCGAAACGAAGUGAUCUAUCCAUGAGCAAGUUGAAGCUAGUGUAAGAACUAGUGGAGGACUGAACCCAUAGGCGUUGAAAAGCCCCGGGAUGACUUGUGGAUAGGGGUGAAAGGCCAAUCAAACUUCGUGAUAGCUGGUUCUCUCCGAAAUAUAUUUAGGUAUAGCGUUGUGUCGUAAUAUAAGGGGGUAGAGCACUGAAUGGGCUAGGGCAUACACCAAUGUACCAAACCCUAUCAAACUCCGAAUACCUUAUAUGUAAUCACAGCAGUCAGGCGGCGAGUGAUAAAAUCCGUCGUCAAGAGGGAAACAACCCAGACUACCAGCUAAGGUCCCUAAAUCUUACUUAAGUGGAAAACGAUGUGAAGUUACUUAAACAACCAGGAGGUUGGCUUAGAAGCAGCCAUCCUUUAAAGAAAGCGUAAUAGCUCACUGGUCUAGUGAUUUUGCGCGGAAAAUAUAACGGGGCUAAAGUAAGUACCGAAGCUGUAGACUUGCGCACAACUUAGAUUAUUUAAGUUUAGAAUAUGAGAAACUAAGUUAUAUGUUUAGUUAUAUUUUUACUGAUUUUUAUAGAGUAAAGAUAGAAAUAAAACUUAGUAAAAUCAGUAAAAAUAUUCUUAGACUAAAGUUAAGUAGUUUAAGUUGUGUGCAAGUGGUAGGAGAGCGUUCUAUUUGCGUCGAAGGUAUACCGGUAAGGAGUGCUGGAGCGAAUAGAAGUGAGCAUGCAGGCAUGAGUAGCGAUAAUUAAUGUGAGAAUCAUUAACGCCGUAAACCCAAGGUUUCCUACGCGAUGCUCGUCAUCGUAGGGUUAGUCGGGUCCUAAGUCGAGUCCGAAAGGGGUAGACGAUGGCAAAUUGGUUAAUAUUCCAAUACCAACAUUAGUGUGCGAUGGAAGGACGCUUAGGGCUAAGGGGGCUAGCGGAUGGAAGUGCUAGUCUAAGGUCGUAGGAGGUUAUACAGGCAAAUCCGUAUAACAAUACUCCGAGAACUGAAAGGCUUUUUGAAGUCUUCGGAUGGAUAGAAGAACCCCUGAUGCCAUCGAGCCAAGAAAAGUUUCUAAGUUUAGCUAAUGUUGCCCGUACCGUAAACCGACACAGGUGGGUGGGAUGAGUAUUCUAAGGCGCGUGGAAGAACUCUCUUUAAGGAACUCUGCAAAAUAGCACCGUAUCUUCGGUAUAAGGUGUGGUUCGCUUCGUAUUAGGAUUUACUCCGAAAGCGAAGAAACUUACAACAAAGAGUCCCUCCCGACUGUUUACCAAAAACACAGCACUCUGCUAACUCGUAAGAGGAUGUAUAGGGUGUGACGCCUGCCCGGUGCUCGAAGGUUAAUUGAUGGGGUUAGCAUUAGCGAAGCUCUUGAUCGAAGCCCGAGUAAACGGCGGCCGUAACUAUAACGGUCCUAAGGUAGCGAAAUUCCUUGUCGGUUAAAUACCGACCUGCAUGAAUGGCGUAACGAGAUGGGAGCUGUCUCAAAGAGGGAUCCAGUGAAAUUGUAGUGGAGGUGAAAAUUCCUCCUACCCGCGGCAAGACGGAAAGACCCCGUGGACCUUUACUACAGCUUGACACUGCUAUUUGGAUAAGAAUGUGCAGGAUAGGUGGGAGGCUUUGAGUAUAUGACGCCAGUUGUAUAUGAGCCAUUGUUGAGAUACC